rnacentral:sRNA from 1 species
CUUAAAGUCUGUCUUCCUUGUCUUCCAUGAAGAUCCAUGAGCCUUGGUAAUAAUGGUUUGCUUUAGAUGUUCUAUUUAGGGCCAAGGACUCAAUGAUUCUUUAUUUUCUGCAGCUGACCAGUGUAAGGUCUUUAUGUUAAUUUUCAGAAAAUGCUUCUCUGCUCUGAGUUGGGAGACACAUUAACCCAUGGGUGAAGCUACAUCUUAAAAAAAAAACUUCGCUAUAUUGUCAUAAUCUCUACUUGAAGGUUUAUCAUAGAACUUAGUGAUAGGUUCUGGGAUGAUUCAGCUUCUAAAAUGUAUUCAUUAUGAUUUGUUCACAUUUUGUGAUGUUUCAAUUAUGGUGAUGUAGUUAAACUCCUAGCAAUAAUGUCAACAAAAUGUUAUUGGUUAGUUUGUUUCAUGUAUAACUGACAAAUAAAUCGGUAAGUACUUUAGGAAAUACUUGCUCUAAACCAGCAUCAUCAAUUUCUAUGAGGAGGUAUAUUUUGGUAAUACUGUUUUAUUAUUUUAAUUUUUAAAAGAAUGACAGCCACAUUAUGAAUAUCAAAUACAUUAAUGGGAAUUUACAUUAUUGUCUGUUCAUGUUCCUGUUGAAGCGAAUUUGUGAGUACAUCAAACAUUCAGAUGCUUUUGCUGCCAUGAGAAGAGCAGUUAUUCGCUCUACUCAGAAACAUUCUUGCUCUGACCUUGAUACCUGUGUCCUAUCCUCAUGCAAUACACCAUGUCAGUACUGAACUUCACUUUUGGGUAUUAGCUUUCUUCAGAGCCCCUUUCUUUCAGUCAAGUGAUAACAAGCAUUAACAUCAUCUAAGAGCUUCUCAUCCAAACCAUUAGCCUAUUUUAGAGACCUCAUUUACCCUUUUCACAAGGUUUCUUGGGGACAUAACUAAUGCUUUCACCUUCAAGGUACUGUUACACUCCUGGAAUUCUGAUUUACACACGACCCCUGAACAACAUGAAUAGAAGAGUUAUCUCCAGCGCUGGCACAUUUCAUGUCAUUAAAGGACCCUGGAAUAAAACAUAAGAUACACCGUGACAGCCAUUAACUCCCUACACUGCUGUCUUUGCAUCCUGUCUUCAAGCAGUGUCUUCAAGAGAAGAUGCUGGAAUUCAGCCAUUUUGACACAAUCAUAAAACUGAAGUUUGAUGUUUAGAGGUCAAUACUCAUUAUCUUCAUUUUGAAAAUAUUUUGUUUUGGAGAUGCUGGAGAAACCCAGAAAACUUCAGGUAAGAUAUUAGGCUCGAGGGCCUGUGGAAGAGGGAAAGAGAGAGGUGAAAGGAUAGAAGAGGGGGAUGGAUAGAGGGAGAGGGGAAAGGGAGAACAAAAUGGGAAGAAAGAGGAAAGGAAAGUGAGAAGUAAGAGAGAAAGGAGGGAUGAGAGGGGAGGAAGGUCAGACCAAACGAGGAAGGAAACUUGAAUGGCUGGAGUACGCAAGGCUGGGCCUAGGAUUUUCUCAGUAUGGCUGAUUUAUAAAUCCUUUUUUUUUAAUUUGAGGAAAAGCAUACCUACAAACUGAUUUAAAAUAAUCAUUUUAAUCUCCAUCAGUCUUGUAUCCCCCAAACAAUGAAUUGAAGAUCUGUUUUCAAUGAGAUUUUCCAUUGAGUUGACUUCCAUACAUCAAUGUCUUUGUAGUGCUGGGACCCUAGUCAAAUGUAGGUGGGCAAUAUUGUCAUUUAUUCCAAGUACAUGGUUUAGGGAUUCUUGGAGACCAGUAGCAUUUUCAUGAACCCCUCCCCACACACACACACCAUUCACUCCUAAGGUUGCUUAAGACCUCCAUCACUUCUUAGUAAUAGUAACAAAGAAUUAAAAGUGUAUAAAAUCUUGGGGCUUUUUCAGACUUGGGCAGGAGGGCAUUUAAGAUGGCAGAGACAUUGACAAGUUAAUUUUAUCUUUGCUAAUCACAUUGAUUUCUUCUUCCUAGAUUUAGGGCUUAUAUCAGCAGCUUCUUUGUGUGUCAUGCAUCCAUGUCAUCCAUGCUCAUUAGUGUUACAAACCUCUGGGCCUGAGUGACAGCAAUGAUGCCUGAGAUGCAUGCUGCUUUCCGGGACACUGAUUAACCCAAUAAGAAGAAGCCAAAUGGGAGGUCCUCAUUGGUUUCAUUAAAUGCUGUCUUGUUAUAAUCUAUACUUUGUAUUGUAGUACAUCACCUUUUAUCUGAAGAAGACACACUAAUUAAAAUAUCAGGAAGUAUUUCAUUCCCUUAACAAGUUAACUGUUUGUAGAUUCUUUUAUUUGUUUCUAGACCUUUAUUUUAUUUUGUUUAGUUAGUGAUAGGAGCGUAAGUAAUGAUGGAAUGUAAUUCAAACACUGUAAUAUUGAUACGUUGGGUGAAAUAUCUCAAACUAACAUCAGAGGUAAGGAGGAUAGUGUGAUGGUUAGUUUAACCAAUUUGACACAAACUUAGAUAUGUAUGGGAAGAGGUAUUAUCUCCAUGAGGUUGACCUAUAGAGAAGUCUGUAGGGCAUGUGGUUAAUUGAUGAUUGACAUGGGAUAGUAGCUUCACAUUGGCAUUGCCAUCCUUGGGUUGGUAGUUCUGGGACGUAUAAGAAAGCAAGUUCAGCAUGCCACAGUGAACAAGGCAGUAAGCAGCAUUCCACCCCACCCUAGUUUUUAUUUCAGUAUCUUCCUCCAGGUUCCCACCUGGAGCACUUCCCUGACUUCUCUGCAGAAAGAUGUAUAAGCUGAAAAAGACCUUUUCCUCCCCAGGUUGCUUUUGGCUAUGGUCUGUAGCAUAGCAGUAGAAAGCAAACUAAGAGUGAUGACAUUUGCUUCACACCAUGGUCGCACUGGAUCAAAUCAGUCAAGUCAGGAGGUCAAGAUGUGCAUGCUAAGGGUAUUGCUGGCUCCUGCCAAGUGCCCCAAACAAGGAAAUGGUCAUCUGAAGGUCAACAUGUAGAAGAACAGAUAAGAAGCAACUCCUUGCAUUUACACCAGAGGCCAAGGGCCAGAUAGGUUACUGUUUUUCCUCAUGCUAAUGGAAACAGAUGUGUCUCCAAAGCUGUUCCAGGCCAGGUUGAAGCUGGAGGGACUGGUGGAUAUCCCUAGUGUCAGACCUAGAAGUCAUGUUGAUGUCUGUGGCCUGAGUUACCUCUGAAGGCCAUGUGGAUAAACCUGGUCUGUUCUUCUACCUGAGGCCAUCCUGAUGACUAUAGAAAACCAUGCUUCCACCAGCAACCAUGUUGAUGUGAGUGGUCUUGGUGAUGCCCAGGUCCUUGCUGCUGCUAAGGGCAUGUCUGGAUCUAUGUUGAUAUUUGGGACCUAUGUUGAAGGUCAUGUUGAUAUCUGUAGUCUGUGUUGCAGUUUAAAACUAAUGUCUGUGGCUAUGCUGCUGGGAGUACUGGGGAUGGUUGGCUGGUUGGUGUCAUGUGAGUAGCCUGUUUUGGCACCUGAGGCCAUGGAGAUGUCUCUGGCCUAUGCUGUGAUGGUGUCCAUGGCCCAUGCAGAGGCAGAAGGGGUUGGUUGAUGUCCAUGGUUUGUACUGCCCCUGGAGACCAUGCUGAGGUCUGUGGCACGGGCUGAUACCUGGAGAUGAUGUAGAUGUAUGUGGUCCCGAACUGUCACCAGAAACCAUGUGUAAGUCCAUGCUGCAUGCUCCUUCCACAGACGGUAAAGGUCAAGGAAGCUACUUCUGCUGUGGUGCUGAUGACUACAGACUCACUGUUGAGACAGAGGGACUUCUAGGACAACCACAACCCCCUUCUCCAAAAGCAACAGCCUAGACAGAAAGCCAUUGAAGAAAAUUCUUAAUAAUUGUGACAAGAUGCUGACGUGUAGCUCUUCACAACUGGCAGCUUCUGGCAGAGUGCAGGCGAGGAAAGACUUGGUUUCUUUAAGUGUCUGGCCACUGAGAGUUUGACCCACCGGAGUGCUGUAGCACAGACACGCUAUGUCUCUCAGCAGAAGAAUAAAUCAAGAGGAGAGGUUAAGUUUCAUCAUUACCUAGGUACGAUGCAGCGGUUUGGUCGUGUUUACCAAUCAAACAUGAGCGUCUGUCUGCUGCUUGCCAAAUUGUGUGGAACCUAACCACAGGCGUAGGCAGGCUGCCUAUCUCUUUUCGUGGCACUAGUGAAUAAUACUUAGAUGACUGGCAGCUACCAUCGUUUUGCUGUUUCUAAUUUCUUAGCCUACUUUCCCUCUAGUAUUGCAAUGAAACAUUCAUUGUCUAAUCAGGUCUUUAUGACGCGAUCUACCUUUGCCUUGUGCAUGCUCUGUAUGGAAAGAGCAGAUGCUCCGUUGUGAGGGGUGAGGGGAUGAAGAGCCUGGUUAUACCCAGUCUACCCGUUUCUCUGGGUCUGGCUGUUCAUGUGCGUUCUUCGACAACUUUAAUGGAAGGCAUGACCACCUUGCUUGUCUCUAAGGACAGCCAAACUUAGUUUUUAAUUGGUCUUCCUUCUUCAAUGGUUCAUUAAAUACUAUACAGAGCCGUUUUACCAAAGCUGAACCCCCAGAAGGGUCUGUCUACUGCAUAGACGCUGUUUAUGGUGGCUGUCUACGGUUGCCUGAGACUGGGCAUUGAAGUCAGGCCUGGAAGAGAAGCUAGAGCUAAAAUCUCUGUGCCAAACCAAUAAAUAUAAAGAGUUCCUGAAAACUGGAGUGGAAGGAGUGGGUAUUUAAAUAGUCGUCUAGACAAAUAGAAGCCAGUGGUGAUAAAUCUAUAAUGAACAGCUUUUAAGAAUUACAACCGUGUUUUGCAUAAUAGAUAAGAGCAAAAGCCUGUUCUCUUAAAUUGACGGGGAAGAAUUCUGAUAAGCCGCAUUAGGAAGCAUGGCUGCAGAGAAGGAAACUGGUAAGAAAACUGAGCAAGUGCACGGCACGCAGCAUUCUGUAUCAGAAAUGUAAGGAAUUUGACAGUUGUUCUCUGAGUAUUCUUCCUCAAGAUCAAGAGGGAAAUGGAUUUCUAUUUAAUGGCAUGCUUUUUAAAAUUUAAUGUGCCCGCUAAUAAAGUAGCUUUCAAUUUGAAAGCAUUUUGCCUCCUGUUACCAUUUAGUCCUUUUGAAUAUAGAAAUCAAAAUUUGUUCUAAAUAUCACUGUGGGGGGACAUAUUUUAGUACUCCAAAUAUGAUUUUUUUCUCAUGUACCCUGUGUGUUGUUUUACGUUACAGUACGGUUAGAAAAACCUUCUGAAAUCUCCGUUCUUCAGUAAUUACCAAUUCAUUAAGUAGUAUGAGUUCUGAAGUAAUUAUGACGUCGGCUUUUGUUGUCUUGUCUGUCUGGUAACAUAAUCUACUUCCAGUUCAUUAAUAUUACAGCCGAUACUCAUCUGCCGCCUACACCAAUGGAGUAAGGGAUGAAGAGGAAGAGGCACCAAACAUUGGUCACAGCGACAAAGGCUCCUAAUUAUCGAAGACCAUUGAUGAAAGAAGUCGCACUUCAAUACACCUCUCUUCAAGUCUGAGGAAAGCAGUUGUUUACGUUUUAUUCACUUCCUGUGUGUGCGUGUGCAGUUUCCCUUGGUGGACUUAAGAGAGCGGAAGAUCACCUGGACCUAGAAGUACCGGUGGUCGGGAGCUGUCUCAGGUAGAGGCUGAGAAUGGAACCUGGGUUCUCUGGAAAAGCAGGGAGUGCUCUUAGCCACGAAGUCAUCCCCAACUUUCGUAAAAAUUAUGCUAGAGAAAACAUUAACACACCGAAAGCGCAUAAAAGCUUAACAGAGACAUCAGAAAACAACCUGACGUAAAGUACACCUUUGGGCUCUGGUUGACACUUCAAGUUUAAAAGAAGUGCCUGGAGAAACUUCAUUUUUUCCUAAAGAGCCGUAACUAUUUAGGAACACGUUUGUUAUUGUUUAUUCUCGAUCUUCAGUCACAGUCUCUUAAAAACGCAGUGCCCAGAAUGCCCAGUUAUGUUUGAGAGCAGUCCUGCCUCACAGACUUUCCUCAUGGUUGAUGAAUCCAGCACGUCUCACCGUGACAAUGGCUGCCCACAGUUACUGAGCACUUGUGGUAGGUGCCCAGGGUGUGGACUUCAGUUUUAUUGAUCUUAUUUAGUAUAAAUAUGAAUGUUGGGCUGGAGCAACGGCUCAGUGGUUAAGAUUACUUGAUGCUCUUACAGAACCUGGGUUUGAUUCCAAGCACCCACACAGAAGCUCAUAACCAUCUGUAACCCUAGUUCCAAAGUUGUCCUUUCCUGGCUUAAUGGGCCCCAAGAACACAUGGGGUCCAAAGAUAUUCAUGCGUGCAAAAUACCAUUCAUAAGAUAAGUUUUAAAAAUUAAAAAAGAGCAUGAAUGUAAAGUGUCUCCUAUGUGCAGUGGGUCCAGUAUUAAGUAGAGGAGACUUAGGAUGUUUACAGACCUAUGGUUAAGGCGAAGUCUUCCGCAUGGUGUCUACUUCCAGCCGCUCUUCAGGAUUCAUUUGUGUCGAUGCUUCAAGACUUGUUGGAAAGGAGUCAAGGCAAUGACCCCCAAAUUUCAACUUUACUCAAUGGUUUGCUGGCUUAGUCAAAUGUGUGGACCUGAGAAACAAGAUUGCUAAGGGUGUAUGUCUGGUUGAUGCUGAGUCCCGAGGCAGAAGACCAAAGUCCCAGGCAGAAUAGGGCUAGAAAGGCAGAGCACAUCUUCCCUAUUAAGCUUUUGUUGUUUUAAUCACUCUCAAGGCUUUGAUGAAUGGAAACACAGAGACAUGUUGAUGUGUGUCACCUGGUAACAGCCUCACAGGCCAAAGGAAAGCAUGUUUCCAAAGAUGUGGAUACCUCAUAACCGAGUCCACACAAUACUCACCUGACAUCACACAGUUACUUAAUCCCACAUAUGCAUACAUGUAUAACUCUCUCUGCCAUCUACUAUGGUUACUAUUCAAGCUAAAACGUCCUAUUUAAACCAGUUAAACUUCUAUUAAAACAGUUAAAUUUCACCAGCACUCUUCUGCUAUUCGGUUUUUUUUUUUUAAUUUGUUUUGGGAUUAAACUCUAAAUACUUAAUUUCACCCCUUCCCUUUCCAACCUCCAUCCCCUCACAUGGACCUUCCCUGCUUGCUCCCUUUUUAAACCAGAGCCUUCUUUUCCUCAUUGCUAUUGUUAUGUGUGUCUAAAUACAUAAACACAGCCUGCUCAGACCCAUUACUGUUAAUUAUGUGUCUAUGAAUGCAGUGCUGACCACUUGGUAUUAUUUACCUUCUCUGUGGAAGGUUAUUUCUCCUAUUCUUGGCAUCCCUUCGUUGGUUUGUCUAGGGUUGGGACCCAUGAAAUCUCCCACUUCCAUGAUAGAAAAGUCUUGUUCAGGCAGAGAACUUCAAUUGAAAACGUCCCCAGUCCCCAGCUGCAGGUUCCUGCAGAGUCAUGCUGACUCUCCUCUAAUUUGUGUUGAUUAACAGAACAUUUUUCCAGCACAUAGUUGGUUCUGGAAAAAAAAUAUUUGUUGCCUAAAUAAUUUAAGGAAUUCUGCUGUAGAACAGUGCUUCUGGACUUUUUCACUCGCCUCCAUCAAAACCUUCCCACUAAAAGAACUCAAUUUUCCAAUAUUUCCCGAGCAAUAAUUUCUUUUUAGUGAUGAACGUGUGUGUGAGUCAUGUGCUACGAUGACACCCAACUUGAAGACGUCUGGAUGCUCUUCAUCUGUAACGAGGUAAACACUGUUGUGAAGAAUAUAUUUCAAGUAGCAAGAAUUUAAAGCAAACGUGGAAGGAAGAGAGAGGAAAGAUCAUUGCUUGUCAGCAGUUAUCUCAGUGUUCAUCUUGACCGAGACAUGAGAGCACUGGGGCCCUUUAAAUGCAAAACGCAAUCAUCCUCCUACCCAACGAACACUUCCUGACUAUGAGACAUGGGCACACAUUGUAGCGCACACUUUGAAUGCAAGAUCAACAAACCCAGGAUCCCAGCUCUCCAGUAGAAUAUAGAUGGGCAGAGGAGUGUGUGGUCUAGGACGUGCAUGGUGAUCAGGUCCAGCAGGUUUAUCAUCGGGAGAAGAUUCAGGGCAAGCUGAAAACCAUGACAAUCAUUUUACAUUUGCCAUGUUCUCGAGUUCGAACUAAAGGAAAGCGGUGGACAGUUGGUACUGAUCCUAGAGGAAGAUCAGGAGCAGCACUGGCUGACAAGGGGAGAGGAGGCCCAGCACAUCUGAGAACAAAUCUGUGGCUUGCCAUCUGUCUUUAUUUAAAUAAAAUACUUGAUUAAUUUCAAAUGGGGGGGUCGUGAACUGACAUUGCACAAAUACUGAGAGUCUAGAUGAUGUGAAAUAAAGGGUUCCCAAAGGAGUAAAGUCAAGCUGAAGAGGUGCCUGAACCGGAAGACCAUGAGGAUUAGAGUAUUGGCUCACAGACACAGCAAAGGGAAGCAGCUUAAGGGGGGUAGCCUUUAUGUUGACUCAUGGCGAGGAGGUGAUGGAAGGAGUCCCUGGAGA